AUUGAACGCUGGCGGCAGGCCUAACACAUGCAAGUCGAACGAGCGGCGGACGGGUGAGUAAUGUCUGGGAAACUGCCUGAUGGAGGGGGAUAACUACUGGAAACGGUAGCUAAUACCGCAUACCAUCGGAUGUGCCCAGAUGGGAUUAGCUAGUAGGUGGGGUAAAGGCUCACCUAGGCGACGAUCCCUAGCUGGUCUGAUGGGAUGACCAGCCAAAAUGGAAAUGAGACACGGUCCAGACUCCUACGGGAGGCAGCAGUGGGGAAUAUUGCAAAAUGGGCGCAAGCCUGAGGCAGCCAUGCCGCGUGUAUGAAGAAGGCCUUCGGGUUGUAAAGCACUUUCAGCGGGGAGGCGUUACCCGCAGAAGAAGCACCGGCUAACUCCGUGCCAGCAGCCGCGGUAAUUC
rnacentral:rRNA from 1 species